UGUUUCGGCUAGGGGGCCAUCCCGGCUUACCAACCCGAUGCAAACUGCGAAUACCGGAGAAUGUUAUCACGGGAGACACACGGCGGGUGCUAACGUCCGUCGUGAAGAGGGAAACAACCCAGACCGCCAGCUAAGGUCCCAAAGUCAUGGUUAAGUGGGAAACGAUGUGGGAAGGCCCAGACAGCCAGGAUGUUGGCUUAGAAGCAGCCAUCAUUUAAAGAAAGCGUAAUAGCUCACUGGUCGAGUCGGCCUGCGCGGAAGAUGUAACGGGGCUAAACCAUGCACCGAAGCUGCGGCAGCGAACGUAUCACUUAAAGCGAUUCAGCGGGUUACGAUUGACGGAGCGAAGCGACGUCAAAGCGUAUACAAAGUCGAGUCGGUUUAAGGAUACGUUCGUUGGGUAGGGGAGCGUUCUGUAAGCCUGUGAAGGUGGCCUGUGAGGGUUGCUGGAGGUAUCAGAAGUGCGAAUGCUGACAUAAGUAACGAUAAAGCGGGUGAAAAGCCCGCUCGCCGGAAGACCAAGGGUUCCUGUCCAACGUUAAUCGGGGCAGGGUGAGUCGACCCCUAAGGCGAGGCCGAAAGGCGUAGUCGAUGGGAAACAGGUUAAUAUUCCUGUACUUGGUGUUACUGCGAAGGGGGGACGGAGAAGGCUAUGUUGGCCGGGCGACGGUUGUCCCGGUUUAAGCGUGUAGGCUGGUUUUCCAGGCAAAUCCGGAAAAUCAAGGCUGAGGCGUGAUGACGAGGCACUACGGUGCUGAAGCAACAAAUGCCCUGCUUCCAGGAAAAGCCUCUAAGCAUCAGGUAACAUCAAAUCGUACCCCAAACCGACACAGGUGGUCAGGUAGAGAAUACCAAGGCGCUUGAGAGAACUCGGGUGAAGGAACUAGGCAAAAUGGUGCCGUAACUUCGGGAGAAGGCACGCUGACACGUAGGUGAAGUGAUUUACUCACGGAGCUGAAGUCAGUCGAAGAUACCAGCUGGCUGCAACUGUUUAUUAAAAACACAGCACUGUGCAAACACGAAAGUGGACGUAUACGGUGUGACGCCUGCCCGGUGCCGGAAGGUUAAUUGAUGGGGUCAGCGCAAGCGAAGCUCCUGAUCGAAGCCCCGGUAAACGGCGGCCGUAACUAUAACGGUCCUAAGGUAGCGAAAUUCCUUGUCGGGUAAGUUCCGACCUGCACGAAUGGCGUAAUGAUGGCCAGGCUGUCUCCACCCGAGACUCAGUGAAAUUGAACUCGCUGUGAAGAUGCAGUGUACCCGCGGCAAGACGGAAAGACCCCGUGAACCUUUACUAUAGCUUGACACUGAACAUUGAGCCUUGAUGUGUAGGAUAGGUGGGAGGCUUUGAAGCGUGGACGCCAGUCUGCGUGGAGCCGACCUUGAAAUACCACCCUUUAAUGUUUGAUGUUCUAACGUGGACCCGU
rnacentral:rRNA from 1 species